UUUUCUUUCAGAUGACACUACCUACAAAUCUAUUGUGAGAUUGUGCAUGUGGACCUCCAUGUCACCAUCUUCUGAGCGAAUGGCAUGGUCUAUAUGUUCCCUACGCUGGACUCAAUUCUACCAAUGAAUACUGCAGAAAGCAACUUUGUGCAGAUUUGUAGGAUCCAGUGAAAAUAUUAAGCUUCAAAGUGCCUGAGGUGAAGCUCCAUAUUCUGAUUUUUAAUAAGAUCUCCAUAUGGAUCUGAGGAUAGGCCAGGUUUGGAUGCCACAACUAAGAUACUGUGCAGCACAGAAAAUCUGAUGCAUCUCUCCUGAGCCUAUGCAGAGGAACAUGAGGAGCCCAACUAUUCUUCCCAAGUUUGCCUUUCCAAAGAAUACUGAGUAGACUGGAAGAAGUAGAUCUGCAGACGCUGAGGAUUUCAGCCUCUCGUGUUCACUCAAGCCCAGUACAUCGCACGCUGCUCAACUAAGACUUGCCUGGACACUAGAUACUUUGGCUUCUGUGGAAGCCUGAACUUUUCCUUAAUGUUUAUGAGAAAGGGUGCAUAUGUUGCAGAUUCUGUGUCUUUUAUUUAAGUACCAUGUGCCUGUGACUGCAGGUACCGGGUAUGCUGAUAAUUUCUUUAUGAAGAGAGGGACUAUUUUCAUGUUUCUCUAUUAGCUGUAGUUUAAAUAUCUCCCUCACUGAACAGAAAAAUGGAAAUUCUUCUGCACUUGUAGAUGCUGUUUUUGGAAUAAUGACAAUUAUCCUAAGGUGUUCUUAAAUAUGUUUCUUCUGUUAAAUGCACUUUGUUCAUUCUCUUCCCUUGGUCAUUAAAACAAACAAACAAACAAACAAACAAACAAACACUCCAUUCUUACUACGGCAGAUUUCCCUCUUUUAAAUCUCAUAGUAGCUAGUACCCCUUUAUAUCACUCAGCAAAUCACAAUUUUAUAGGUUUGUGAGUUUUUUUUAGCUAUUGUCUUAUCUUAACCACUUGUAAAGCUCUAGAAAUAUUCUCUGAUAGACAUGAAUUAAUGCUUGACAUGAAAUGCCACAUUUAAUCUUAAAAACAAUCCUAUGAAGUUAUUACUAUUAUUAUGUCCAUUUUUUUACUGAUUAAAAAUAAGGGAAUCAGAGAUGUUAAGUGACUUGUUCAAAGUCAUAUACUUGUCAUAGGAGUAAGCUCAGGUUUGAAAUCUAGGCCAUCUGAUAGUAGAAAUAUUUACCGGAAAAUAAUGAUUAAAUGAAUAAAUGAGUGGGGUUUUCUUCUCACUGCCAAA